GAUGAAGAACGCAGCGAAAUGCAAUAAGUAAUGUGAAUUGCAGAAUUCAGUGAAUCAUCGAAUCUUUGAACGCACAUUGCGCCCCUUGGUAUUCCGAGGGGCAUGCCUGUUCGAGCGUCAUUAUAACCCCUCAAGCUCAGCUUGGUGUUGGGGCCUGCUGCACUGGCAGCCCUUAAAAUCAGUGGCGGCGCCAUCUGGCUCUAAGCGUAGUAAUUCUUCUCGCUAUGGAGUCCUGGUGGAUGCUUGCCAUCAACCCCCAAUUUUUCUAUGGUUGACCUCGGAUCAGGUAGGGAUACCCGCUGAACUUAAGCAUAUCAAUAAGCGGAGGA
rnacentral:misc_RNA from 1 species